rnacentral:lncRNA from 1 species
AAAGGUGUGGCUGCUAUCUUGUGCCCUUGAGCGGAUGGGGGAAGAGAUAGGCAAGGUAGAAAGGGUAAUUUACAAAACUAGCUGAUCGGGUGAUGACGAGACGAGCUGACGUGGCUAGCCAUGUCGGAUUAAGGAUGAAUUUAAGCCGAUUGAGAAAGUUUGAGGACUAGAAUGGCCAUUGUGGUAGUUCAUGAAUAAAAUUAAUCCCCGAGUGAUAGUUUAGGGACGAAAAUAGCUAGCUAUUCCGCCAAAUGAAAAAGUCUCAAAAGCUGGUCUGCUGAUCGAAAGUCCGUCUCUUUAAAUUGCCCAUCUCUUUCCCAAAUCGUUGCGGCAACAAGCACCCACACGCAGCCAUGAUGACAUGCCAGUGCAAGUGCUUAGGCUCUCAUUCAGGUCGUCCACAGACCACUUUCCCCUCUG